rnacentral:rRNA from 1 species
AUUAUUGGAAAUGAAAUGUUAUUCGUUUAUAAAGAUAUCUAGUUUUUUUAGAAAUAAAUUUAAUUUAAAAGUUUUUAAUUUUAUUAAUUAAUUAUAUAAAUUAAUAAAUUUAAAAAUUUAAAUAUUUUAAGGGAUAAGCUUUAAAAUAUAUUUUUAUAAAUAAAUAAAUAAUAAUUAAAAUUAUAUGCAUAGAAUUAGUAAUUAUUAAAAAUUUUGUUAUAAAUUAUUUUAUAAAAUAUAUUAUUUAUUUUAAUUUUAAAUUUUUAUAAAAAUAUUUUUUUUAAUUUUAUUUAAAAAGUAAUAAUGAUAAAAUUAGUAUAUUAUAUUAUGUAGAUAUAAUUUAUUUUGAUAAGUUUAUAUAAAGAACUCGGCAAAUAUUUUACUCGCCUGUUUAACAAAAACAUGUCUUUUUGUGUUAUUUUUAAAGUCUAACCUGCCCAAUGAAUAAAUUUUAAUGGCCGCAGUAUUUUGACUGUGCAAAGGUAGCAUAAUCAUUAGUCUUUUAAUUGAAGGCUUGAAUGAAUGGUUGGACGAAGUAUAAUCUGUUUCAUUUAAAUUUAUUAUAGAAUUUUAUAUUUUAGUUAAAAAGCUAAAAUAUUUUUAAAAGACGAGAAGACCCUAUAAAUCUUUAUAAUUUAUUUUAUUUUUAUUUUUUAUAUUUAUUUUAUUUAAAUAAUUUAAAUUAUUUUGUUGGGGUGAUAUUAAAAUUUAAUAAACUUUUAAUUUAAUUUUUUCAUAAAUUUAUGUUUUAUUGAUCCAUUAAUAAUGAUUAAAAGAAUAAGUUACUUUAGGGAUAACAGCGUAAUUUUUUUGGAGAGUUCUUAUUGAUAAAAAAGUUUGCGACCUCGAUGUUGGAUUAAGAUAUAAUUUUAGGUGUA